GUGUCAGCAGCCGCGGUAAUACAGAGGGUGCAAACGUUGCUCGGAAUGAUUGGGCGUAAAGCGCGUGUAGGCGGCCGAUUAUGCCGGUUGUGAAAGCCCGCGGCUCAACCGCGGAAGUGCAGUCGGAACUGAUCGGCUAGAGUACCGAAGAGGGUGGCGGAAUGCCCAGUGUAGAGGUGAAAUUCGUAGAUAUUGGGUAGAACACCGGUGGCGAAGGCGGCCACCUGGGAGGCUACUGACGCUGAGACGCGAAAGCGUGGGGAGCAAACAGGAUUAGAUACCCUGGUAGUCC
rnacentral:rRNA from 1 species